AACGCAUAUUGCGCUCCCCGGUAAUCCGAGGAGCAUGCCUGUUUGAGGAGUCUUGUCAACCAUCCUAGCCUCUGCUCUGGCCGUACGGCCGGUUGCAUCGGCUAGAACUCUUCAUUGAAAUGGACAAGAUUUAUUUGAGCUUCUUUCCGGCGCAAGUUGGAUAGCUCUAAAUGCAAAUAAACCAAUACUCCUAGGAUUUCGCCGUUUUCCACGGUCGAGCCCCAUCCACAAGGAGACUUGGGAACUUUCGCGACCUGCACUUGUGCAGGAGCAUGAGCAGAUCGAUAAAACUUCUCGCUCAAAGUUUUCCUUAGCCUUGUUAAGAUAUAUUUUUCUCGUAAAAAUGUUUUAACUACUAAGGAAGAUGAGAAGACAAUACAAGAUCUGAGCGUGUGCGUUAGUGCCCCGAGGCUCUGAUAGAUGGGACCCGGUCGAGGAUCAUGACGGCGACGUUCUAGUUCUCUUCUCCUCAAAUCAAGCAAGAGUACCCGCUGAACUUAA
rnacentral:misc_RNA from 2 species